GGCGAACGGGUGAGUAACACGUGGGUGACCUACCUUCGAAUGGGGGAUAACGUUCCGAAAGGGACGCUAAUACCGCAUAACAUCCUGCCUUUGAAGAGGUGGAGAUCAAAGCUGGGGAUCGCAAGACCUGGCGUUUGAAGAGGGGCCCGCGUCCGAUUAGCUAGUUGGUGAGGUAAUGGCUCACCAAGGCAACGAUCGGUAGCCGGCCUGAGAGGGCGGACGGCCACACUGGGACUGAGACACGGCCCAGACUCCUACGGGAGGCAGCAGUGGGGAAUUGUUCGCAAUGGGCGCAAGCCUGACGACGCAACGCCGCGUGGAGGAUGAAGGUCUUCGGAUUGUAAACUCCUGUUGCCCGGGACGAAUGGCUCUGACCUAACACGUCAGAGUUUGACGGUACCGGGUGAGGAAGCCCCGGCUAACUCUGUGCCAGCAGCCGCGGUAAUACAGAGGGGGCAAGCGUUGUUCGGAAUUACUGGGCGUAAAGGGCGCGUAGGCGGCCUGCUAAGUCGAACGUGAAAUCCCCGGGCUCAACCCGGGAACUGCGUUCGAUACUGGUUGGCUUGAAUCCGGGAGAGGGAUGCGGAAUUCCAGGUGUAGCGGUGAAAUGCGUAGAUAUCUGGAGGAACACCGGUGGCGAAGGCGGCAUCCUGGACCGGCAUUGACGCUGAGGCGCGAAAGCCAGGGGAGCAAACGGGAUUAGAUACCCCGGUAGUCC
rnacentral:rRNA from 1 species